rnacentral:rRNA from 1 species
CUACGGAGGGUCCGAGCGUUAAUCGGAAUUACUGGGCGUAAAGCGCGCGUAGGCGGAUAUUUAAGUCAGAUGUGAAAUCCCUGGGCUCAACCUAGGAACUGCAUUUGAAACUGGAUAUCUAGAGUAUGGUAGAGGUGAGUGGAAUUUCAGGUGUAGCGGUGAAAUGCGUAGAGAUCUGAAGGAACAUCAGUGGCGAAGGCGACUCACUGGGCCAUUACUGACGCUGAGGUGCGAAAGCGUGGGUAGCAAACAGGAUUAGAAACCCUAGUAGUCC